UGAUAUUCUUUAUCGUCAAAAUUACGAUUUUCUAUUGGUUGGUAUUUCUGAAUCGCGCUCUCUGACCAACGCGCGUCUAGUAUAGCGAGCUGUUAGCGUCACUUGCAAAGUUGUUUACUAGAAGAUCGAUUAUAGAAAAGGAGACUAUUUUCCCAAGCUCACGAUGGCAGCUACAGCAAAAAAAGGUGGAAAGAAAGCCGCGGCCGGUGCAGCUAAGGUAAAGAAAGCAGCAAAACCGAAGUCCCCCAAAAAGACGACAAAGAAGGCUGGAGCAAAAAAGGCUGUGAAAAGGGCCGGAAAGAAGGGAGGAAAGAAAGCUACAAAGGCCAAGAAGUAAACUCUUCCUCAGUAGGCUUAUUCACAAUCCAGGGACUAUUUCAUCAAUCAUCAUUUAGAUAUAGAUUGCCACCCUUUUCUUUCUCUGGCGCCUUGUUUUUGAAGACGACUGAAUCUCUUUUAUUAUAUAAAUCUAUAUAUAACUGUUUUAUAGAAUAGGUAUUUAUAGAUGUGUGUACUACAAACAGUUUUAUACCCUCAAACAGAUGAAUUGUUUAUUUAGAUUUUGAAAAUUAUUUUAUAUGAGAACUUGUUAAGGUUUCCAUACCAUUAAAUUGGUAGAAUUUUUAAAUGUUUUGAUCAACACUUUAAAUUUAUCCAUUUUUAUCAUUUUUACAGAGCACAUUGCAAUUAAUAGGUGUGUAAUACUCCUCCUGCAAUCUUGUACCAAGUUUGUAGGACUAAUGUGAAAUAAAUGUGUAUAAAACAAGA